rnacentral:lncRNA from 1 species
CCAAGCAACAGCUCCACCUUUUGUUUAAAUUCCUCCUUUGUUAUGAUUCCCUUUUCGUCCUUGUCUAACCCCAAACCAAUCUUCCAUACAUCACAAAUGUAGCUUUUGUUAACAAACUGGUCGGUGAAGUAAGGCCAACACAAGAAAGGUACUCCAUUGCUCACGCCUUCUAUGGCAGAGUUCCAACCACAAUGGCUCACAAAACAAGCAAUAGCAGGAUGGCUUAGUACCUUCUGCUGAGGAGCCCAACUGAUAAUUUUUCCAUGGCUGUCUUCAAAUUCAUUUGGGUUCGAUUCUUGGGUACUGUUUCCUGGACGAACCACCCAAAGGAAAGGUUUGUUUGUCAGUUUAAGUCCAAGUGCCAAUUCUUGAAGUUGAGAUUGGUCAAAAAUGGUCAAACUGCCAAAUGCUACAUAUAUCACUGACUGGGAAGGCUGCCGAUCAAGCCAUUUUAGGCACGAGGAGUCCUCCGGCCAGAACUGUGCUCCUGAAUUCCCUGUAUCGUAGCCUGCUAAUAAUGGGCCAAUUGGGAGGAGCUUUGGAACCAAAGAAAAUACCUCAGCCUCAAGUUCAUGAAUUGAGUUGCAUAGCUGCCAUUCAAUCAAUUGUGAAUCUUCCAUUACUCUUUCAAUAUAUUUGAAAAAAGCCUUUUGUGAGUAGGCGUUGCCAACUUUCCAUGCCAAGUUAUCAGAGUCAAAAAUAGGGCCGCUUGGGGAUAUUUGAAUCUUGUGUUUCUUGAUUGCAAAUCCUGUAAAUGAAUCAAAAGGAAAAUGCAUGCAGAGUAUUAGUAGUGAAUUUACGUGGAAUAUCAACAACGCCAAGAAUUUCUUGAGAUUAAAGAAUAAUAAUAACAAUAAAAUCAAGGGAAGCACUUACCAUCACUGUCGAUAUAUCCAUCUCGAUUAAGAUUAGAAAUGUUGGCUAACUGGCAAAAAAUGGCAGCUGAUGCAGGCCAGAACAUUGCAACUCGGAUCCCCAAUUUGUCAGCAACUUCUCUUGCCCACCCCAUAGUUCCAUCAACUAUAAUACAAGUGAAGGGAUGAUUCUUGUUGAUGUCUUCUAUGAGAUCCUGAAACUUUUUGCGCAUGGUGAUCAACAUGGCCUCGCAUAACUUACCAAUGUCAGUUCUAUCAUCCUCAGGAUCCAUCCCAUCUGGGAUUGAUACCAAAUUAACAUCUGAACCUGUAGGUUCGUUUCUGCCAGCCAUUGCACUAAGCACUCUCUUGUGGUUAAAGUCUGUAUUGACAAAAGUGACUUUGGAUCCAAGGUUGGCUAUUCUCCAAGCAAAGUGCAUUAAGGGGUUAACAUGUCCUUGGGCUGGAAAUGGUAGCACUAGAACAUGUGAAUUUUCCAUUUUCCUUUUGCGAUUUGAGAAACAGAACAGAGAAAAUGCGAUCUUAUCUUCCUCUGUUGGCUACGAGGCAAAGGAGUGGCUAAUAAUUUAUUGGCUGCAAGGGCAAAGGAUUAAACAGAAAUUAUAGAAUAUAGCAGUAAUACCGACUAGAAUUUCCUGGUGGGUAUAUUAAUAAAUUAUUUGUAUUUUGACAGGUAUAUUAAAAAAAUAAAAAAGUAUAUUAAUUUUUAUUCUACUAUAUUAGAAGUCUAGAUGGCCCACUGUUAUUUAUAACUUAAAAUAAGUAAUGGUAAAUAAAUAGUUAUACAACCAAUAAUUUUAUCACAAUCAUUAAUUAUGAUAGAUUAUAAAUAUUAAUGAUUAAUGAUUAAUAAUAUCAAAUAAUUUUUUUAAUUUCCAAACUAUUAAAUCUAUUUUUCUCAACAUAGAUAACUAAUAAUCAUUCAUUAAAAUGGCUACUAUAUUAUAGGAGAGCUAAUAAAAUAUAAAUAUAAAAUAUAAAUAAAAGCUAAAUUUACAUAAUUAGAGUGCUAAAUAAAAUUAAAAUAAGAAUAAAUAUGAGAGAAUAAGAAAAUUAAAAGGAAAAAUGAAUAUGAAAAAUGAAAAAUGCCCUUUGAGAGAUCAUUUUGUAAAGGUGAGUGGUUGGUAAAAUUUCCAUUGAGGUAUGAGUUUGUUGCUUCAAUAAUAUCAGUUUAUUUGAGAGGUAUAGAGAUGAAAAAUAAAAAGAACAAGAGAAAACUUGAAAUGAACACCAAAGGAAAUGAGAAGUUAAAAGUGUUGGGUUUUUUUUUUCUUUUUUUUUUAUAUUAUAUCAAUCUCAUUUACAAAACUGAGUAUAAAUAUAUAGAGUACAUGAGACACGUUAGAAAAACUAUUUUAGCUAUAAACAAGAUCUAAGGCUAAGAAUGUGUUGUAUCCUAUGAUAAAAAAAAAAAAAGGGAUUCUAAUAUGCUCUUAUAAUUUCUCUAUUAAAAAUUGAUUUGACGGCUCAUACCAACACUCCCCUCAAGUUAAUGCAUAUAUGUUUUGGAUGCCCAACUUGUCAAGUGAGUUGUAAAAGAUUUUACUGGACACAGUCUUUGUAGGGAUAUCUACUAGUUGGUCUUUAGAUUUAAGAAAAGAAAAAUAAAUUAUUUUUUUCUUCAAGAUUCUUCUUGAUGAAGUGUCGACCCACCUCUACAUGUUUGGUAUGGUCAUGUUGGACAAGAUUAUAAGAGAUAUCAAUUGUUGCUUUGUUGUCAUAAAAGAGAUUCAUCUCAGAGUUAGGAGCAAAACAAUCUCAGUCAAUAAUCUUUUUAGCUAUAGAAGUUCACAAAGGCCUUUUGUCAUUUCUCGGAACUCAGCUUCAACACUAGAUAAUGCUACUACCUUCUAUUUCUUGCUUCUCCAAGUAACCAGAUUGCCUUCUACAAAAGUAAAAUAGCCUGAGUGGACUUUCUAUCAGAAGUAUUCCCUGUCCAAUCUGCAUAUGUGUAACCAUCAAUACUUAUGUGAUUAUUUUUUGUAAACAUAAUUCCAUGAGAAGACUUUAGAUAGCGAAGAAUUUGAAUCACUACAUCCAUAUGACUUUCACUUGGGCAAUACAUGAAUUGGCUUACUACACUCACAAUAUAAGCAAUAUCUAGGCGUGUAUGUGAUAAGUAAAUAUAUUUUUCAACUUAUUGUUGAUAUCUCUCUCUGAUCAGAGUAUUCUCCAAGCUUAUGAUUCUGUAUAAUUGGAGUAUUAGCUGGCUUAUAGUCCAACAAUCUUGCUUCACACAACAAAUCUAGAAUGUAUUUUCUUUUUGAGAGAAAAAUAGCGAUCUUGCUACUUCAAUCCCCAAAAAAUAUUUGUAAUACCCGGCUAGACUCCGGUAUCGGAAUUCCUACCGUCUGGUGGAAUCUCGGGUGUUCGAAAACCUCUAAAAGGGUAAAACCAUGUUUUCAUAAAAUGUUUUAAUGUGUUUUAUGUUUUAAGCAUGAAAGAAAAUGAGUUUUUGCAUGAAAACAACCUUGGAGGAAAACUCAGGUUCGGCCGCCGAACCUCAAGUUCGGCCGCCGAACAUGCAUGCGCUUCGGGAGUGCUUUAGGCCCCCGAAGGCAUAAGUGAGGGAAGUCCAGGUUCGGCUGCCGAACCUUAUGUUCGGCCGCCGAACAUGGCAUGCAUGCGGAGGCACUUUCGGCUCCCGAACGUGGCCUGGCCAGCCACCUAUAAAGGGAUCCCUUAGCCGAAAUGGGUGAGCUUUUCUCCCCAUUUUCGGCCAAGGUGAGCUCUCCGCCAUCCCUCGCCGGUUUUGAGUUCCUUCCUUCAAAUCUUUCUCGAUUUUCAUUAGUUUUACUCUUGUUUUGAAGAUUUUGAGCUUUUGAGCAAGUUUUGGAGUUUGGAGGUUCAAGGAACUCUCUCUCUCCCAUUUUUCAAGCUAGGGUCGUUCUCCUCUCGAUCUUCAAGAGGUAAUGGUCGAUCUUGAGCUUAUUGCAUGUUUUAAGUAAGUUUUAAGUAGAUCUAUGGUAUAGAAUGCAUGUUUAGUUUAUGGUUGGGUUUAUAGGUUUAUGUUAUGUUUUUGGACAAUGUGGAUGUUUGAUGUGUUGUAGAUGGGGUUUAAGAUAGUUUGAAACCCUUAGGAACUUGUAUGCUUGAGUAUGUAUGUUGUAGAUUAGGAAAAAUGCAUGUUGGAUGGUUUUGGGAGGCAAAUGUGCAUGAGGAGCUGAAGUUUCUGCCCUUUGGCAGAAACCAGGUUCGGCAGCCGAAGGACUUUCGGCCGCCGAACAUGGCUGGGAGGCAAGCCUUUCGGCUGCCGAAGCCUGCCCCCGAAAAGAGACUUUCGUCUCUGGAGGGCACUUUCGGCCGCUGAAGGUGCCGCCAAACCUACCUGAAUUUCGGCUCUGGAGGGACUUUCGGCCGCCGAAGGUGCCGCCGAAAGUGCCCUGUGCAGCCCUCCUUUGCAUGUUUUUCUAUGAUGUUUUGAGGUGUUUUAAGGGGGUUUUUGGGGAGUAUUUUAGAGUCAUGUUCUAGUAUAUUUGGUCCCUCAUUUGAGUCCACCUGUGUGGGUUCGGACCCGAGGAACCGAAGACCCCAGCAGUGAGUUCAGCUGCUUCGGUGUUGUCAAAGUCAGCCAAAGGUGAGUGGAACUAAACUUAAUCUUUUAAAUUGAGAAAUUAAAUGUUUAUCAUGUUUCAUGCAUCAUGAGUAUGCAAUAGGAUGAUUGCAUUAGAUUUCACGAAUAUGUUGCAUUGCAUUCUUUAUUGUUGAUGUGGGUGAAUGUUGGAUGACCCAAUUAGUCCCUGAGGGAAGAUUAGGAUCCCAUUCUACGGCCUGGCACGGAUAUGGGACUCGAAGACCAGGAGCCCAGAGGAGGCCCUGGGGCAAUGGUAAGUAAUGUAUGAUAUGACAGGAAGACCAGGACCCCAUGCUACGGCCUGGCACAAAUGAUGCUGGGACUAUUUGGUGACAAGUUCACCCAACCCUUAUGUGAAUUGUCUGUGUUAUGAUGCAUUUCAUUGGAGCAUGUUUGUUAAUAUGUUUUUAUGGUUCUACUCACUGGGCUUUUAGCUCAUCCCUCUCCCUUUAACCCCCAGGCUUGCAGGUACAGGAUAGAGCAGGAAGUCGGUUAGAGUAAAGUCAUGGUUAUGUAAUAGCUAGCAGUGGACAUGAUUAAAUUGUAAUGUAAUGUCUUAUACAGUUAUGAUAUGUAAUGAUGAUGUAUUGAGGUUUAGAAAUUGUGCUUGACCGAGUUUGUAUAGUAAUCCCUUUUGAUACAUGAUCUAUAGAAUAUUUUAUGAUGUUUAUGUUCAACCAAGCUUAAUUCAUGUAUGGUAUGAUACCCCAUUGGAGCAUUUGAUGAGGGCUCCAGUGUGUGGUUUAUGUUAUGUUAUGAGUAUGCACAGGUUGAGCUUGGUUUAUGGAAAGAAAAAGUUUACAGGUUUAUGAGUAUGUAUGAUCAUGUAUGGGAUUUGACAGGUUCACAGGUUAUAUGUCAGGCUUGCUACGGGUCCCGGCGGCCUUAAGCCGAUCUGGAUCCUAACGCCGGUAGCGGUCCGAUUUUCGGGUCGUUACAAUAUUUGAGCCUUCCAAGAUUCCUCAUCUCAAAUUCGGUUGCCAAUUGUCUUUGGAGUUUAAAGAUUUCUUCAAAGUCAUUUCCUGUAGGGAAAAUUACUUCUUAGUCCCUAAGGUUUAACGUAAUUAACACUUCUGUCCCUCUAUUUUGGCGACCCAACACUUAAGUCCCUCGCUUUCUCUUCCAUCCAAAUUCGUAGUCCUUCCGUCCAUUUAAACCGUUUGGUCAAAGAGUCAAAAGUGAGAGGUGAUAAUUUUUUUCAAAAAUACCCUUCUCUCAAUGUGAAAUUCCUAUUUUUUUUUCUCUUUCAUGUUUUCUCCAGUUGAAGAAGAAGAAGAAGAAGAAGAAGAAGAAGAAGAAGAAGAAGAAGAAGAAGUUGCAGAAAGGGUAGGAAGAAGAAGAAGAAAGAAGAAGAAGAAAAAGAAGAAGUUGCAAAAAGGGUAGGAAGAAGAAGAAGAAGAAGAAGAAGAAGAAGAAGAAGAAGAAGAAGAAGUUGCAGAAAGGGUAGGAAGAAGAAGAAGAAGAGGCAUUUGAGUUUGGGUUUAGUGAGGGUUAAUUUUAUCAAUUCACGUGUCCCAAACGGCUAUUUUAGACGGAAGGACUACGAAUUUGGAUAGAAAAUAAAGUGAGAGACUUAAGUGUUGGGUCGUCAAAAUAGAGGGACAGAAGUGUUAAUUACGUUAAACCUCAGGGACUAAAAAAUAAUUUUUCCUUUCCUGUAAUAAUUAUUUUCUAUAAUAAUCAUAUCAUCUACAUAGAUUAUUAAAGCUAUAACUUUCUCUAAUUGGUAUUUUAGGAAUAAAGUAUGGUUUGAAUUGCUCUGUUGGAACCCAUACUUCUUUAUAGCUAGGCUAAACCGUGCAGAUCAUGCUCGGGGUGAUUGUUUUUAAUCCAUACAAGGUCUAUUGCAACUUACAUACUACUUUAGUCUUUGAAGAUGAGGCGUACCCAGGUGGAAUAUCCAUGUAAACUUCCUCAUCGAGAUCCCCAUGAAGAGAAGUAUUCUUCACAUCAAAACUGGUGCAAAGGCCAAUCCAAGUUUGUUGCAAGAGAUAACAAAACUAUAACAGUAUUUAGUUUUACUACGGGAGAAAAAGUCUCUUGAUGAUCUAUGCCAUAUGUCUGUGUGUAUUCUUUUGCUACGAGUCUCGCCUUGUAUCUAUCAGUAGACCCAUUGGCCUUGUAUUUAAUGGAGAAAAUUCAUUUGCACCCAACUGUCUUCUUUCCCUCUGGAAAAGGUAUCAAAGUCCAUGUUUUAUUCUUCUGCAAUGCCUCCAUUUCUUCUUUUAUAGCAUUGGUCCAUCUUGGGUCCAUUAAGUCUUCUUCUACUCUAUAUAGAAUAUGGUAUGAGAAUAAAGUAUACAAAAAACCCUUGAGAGGCUCUGGCAAUUUCUAAGUAGACACAUAAUUGGCAGUUGAGUAUCUUUGAUUUUUUUUUUCCCUUCAAUAUCUGGAGAGUAUCUAUUUGGUGGCUUUCCUCGAUUAUUCCUGAAGGGUAAGACAUAGCCAGCAGAAGCAUCUAAGUUAGUAACAAGUGAAUGUGUGGUGAGAGAGCUUAUCUCAAGACUAUUCUCAAGAGAAGGGUCUGUAGUUACUAAAGGGGUGACACAGCUGGAUUCAGAUGAUAUAGAUUCUAUAGAUUCCGUUCUUGGAGACAUAUUGACUUCAUUACCAUUUGGUUUCUCCCCAACUAUUAUUUCAUUAUCAACUUGCUCUGAAUUUUCUCCAAACACAAGCCAUUCAAAAUUUAUACAGUUCUGCUCUUCAUUUUGCACCUGCCCCUCAAGAGGUGAAGUGGAUAAUGGUGGUGGAAAGAAAGUGUCUGACUCUAAGAAGGUAGCAUCCAUAGUAGCAUAAGUGCACUUAGUGAUGGGAUCGUAACAACAAUAGCCCUUUUUCUGUAAAGCAUACCCAAAAAACUGCAGCGAACAUCAUAAAGAUUUAGGUUACUUUGCUGAUUUUUGUGAAGAUGGGCAAAGACAACACAACCAAACACCCGGAGAGGAAUGAACAAUACAAUAGGUAAAGAAACAUAACUAGAAAGUACAUGUAACAGGAUCUUGAAAUUUACGACUUUCGAAGGCAUCCGGUUUAGCAAAUGUAUUGUUGUGGCAAUAGCAUCAUCCCAGUAGCUACUAGAUACAUGUGCUCCGAUUAAUAAAGCAUGAGCUAUUUCUAGAAUAUGUUGAUUCUUCCGAUCAGCAAUGCCAUUUUGUUUGAGAGCAUGAGGUUUCAUGUAAAAGACCAUGGCUCUUGAAGUAAGUUUGAAAGUGUUGAUUAACAUAUUCACCACCAUUAUCUGAAUUAAGGACUUGAAUUUUUAUUGAAAAUUGAUUCUGAAUCAUUACAUGGAAAGUCUGGAACACAUUAAAUAUCUUAUUUUUAUGUUUCAAUAAGUAAAGUCAAGUUAUUCGGUUGCAAUCAUCCACAAAGGUUACAAACCAUAAAUGCCAGAAGAAGUAGUGAUUGGGGAGGAUCCCCACACAUUUGAAUUUUGAAUACAGCUUAGAGUUAUAAAUUGAUCUCUCAAAAUCAUAAAUCUUUUAUAAAUUGACCUCUCAAAUCAUAAAUCUUAUCUCCUAUGAAUCACAUUUAAUGCAAAUUAAAAUUUAAGCAUAUUUAUUUUAGUUAAAAAUAAGCAAGCAUAAAUUACAAAAGAAUAAUGUUGUUUUUUUUUUCCUAAAUUGCUAUCAUUUAUAGUCAGUUUUAAUUUUUUUACAUUUUUAUUAAUUUUAGUCUUAUUUGAAAAUUUUAUAUUUUUUUAAUUUGUAAUCGAAAUUUAAAUUGUGAGUUGUUAAGUGACGGGGAUACAUAACAUGAAUAUUAAUAUUAGUAUGAAUUUAAUGUAAUUUUUUUCUUUCCAUAAUUUUUUUUAUUUAGAUGGUUUUAGAUUUUGGAGCUUUUACUAUGAAUUUCAAGCUCUUGUAUACUUAACUUUUAAUUUAAGACUUGUAUUUUUAGCUCAUGUAUUCAUUUUUCCUUAUCAAUGUAAACAUUUACUUUAUUUUUAAUUUAAUAAGUAUUAGUAAAAUUAAUGCACAUAUUUUUUUAAUUUAAUUUCAAACCAUGUACAAAAAUACCAACUUAUUAUUAUAUUACUUAAAAUAAUUUCUUCCAAUUAUAAAUUUUUUUUUUUUUUAAAUAGGGGGUUGGGGGAGUCGAACCUUAGACCUUUCAAGACUACAAGAUGCACUUUCCACCAGGCUAAACCUUGGAGUGCUUCUAAUUAUAAAUUUAACAUAUCAAAUAUAAAGUUAUUUUCAUUAUAAUUUUUAAGAAACACAUAGAAUUAUAAGAGUAUUUAUAUUUAUGUAAAUUGUUGAUUCAAUAAAUAAAAAUAUCGCUUAAUUAUUUAUUAAUAUUGAAAGCAAAAUUAAAAUAAGAUUCACUCAAACAUAGCAUAGCAACAAAUACUACAUAAUUCAAAUGCUUGUUCAAUAGUCCAUGAGAGAUAAACCAAUAGUCCUUCCACAGAGACUCCUUGAAAAGAUGACAUCUCCCCCAACCUAGGCAUCCACCCACUUGAUGAAGUUGCUAAAAUUUGUGGAGGACUGACCACCUUCUCCGAUAUUAUUUUCAGCAAUUUGCUUCAGCUCCAAGGCCUUUUUUCUUAUAAUUUUAUCCCCAAGCAAUAGCUCCACCUUUUGUUUAAAUUCCUCCUUUGUUAUGAUUCCUUUUUCAUCCUUCUCUAACCCCAAACCAAUCUUCCAUACAUCACAAAUGUAGCUCUUGUUAACAAACUGGUCACCAAAGUAAGGCCAACACAAGAAAGGGAUUCCAUUGCUCACGCCUUCUAUGGUAGAGUUCCAGCCACAAUGGCUUACAAAACAAGCAAUAGCAGGAUGGCUUAGUACCUUCUGCUGAGGAGUCCAACUGAUAAUUUUUCCAUGGCUGUCUUCAAAUUCAUUUAGGUUCGAUUCUUGGGUACUGGUUCCUGGACGAACCACCCAAAGAAAAGGUUUGUUUGUCAGUUUAAGUCCAAGUGUCAAUUCUUGAAGUUGAGAUUGGUCAAAAAUGGUGAAAC